rnacentral:rRNA from 1 species
UACAGAGGGUGCAAGCGUUAAUCGGAAUUACUGGGUGUAAAGCGUGCGUAGACGGUUAUUUAAGUCAGGUGUGAAAGCCCCGGGCUCAACCUGGGAAUUGCAUUUGAGACUGAAUAGCUAGGGUGCGGAAGAGGGAAGCGGAAUUUCCGGUGUAGCGGUGAAAUGCGUAGAUAUCGGAAGGAACACCAGUGGCGAAAGCGGCUUCCUGGUCCAGCACCGACGUUCAGGCACGAAAGCGUGGGGAGCAAACAGG